rnacentral:rRNA from 1 species
GGGGUGCUCGAGUGGCGAACGGGUGAGUAACACGUGAGUAACCUGCCCUUGACUUUGGGAUAACUUCAGGAAACUGGGGCUAAUACCGGAUAGGAGCUCCUGCUGCAUGGUGGGGGUUGGAAAGUUUCGGCGGUCGGGGAUGGACUCGCGGCUUAUCAGCUUGUUGGUGGGGUAGUGGCUUACCAAGGCUUUGACGGGUAGCCGGCCUGAGAGGGUGACCGGCCACAUUGGGACUGAGAUACGGCCCAG